GACGAACGCUGGCGGCGUGCUUAACACAUGCAAGUCGAACGGUGAAGCGCCUUCCUUUUUGGUGGGUGUGGAUGAGUGGCGAACGGGUGAGUAACACGUGAGUGACCUGCCCCCUUCUUCUGGAUAACCGCAUGAAAGUGUGGCUAAUACGGGAUAUUCUGGGUCUGUCGCAUGAUGGGUCUGGGAAAGAUAUUGUUUCGGUGGGGGAUGGGCUCGCGGCCUAUCAGCUUGUUGGUGGGGUGAUGGCCUACCAAGGCGGUGACGGGUAGCCGGCCUGAGAGGGUGGACGGUCACACUGGGACUGAGACACGGCCCAGACUCCGACGGGAGGCAGCAGUGGGGAAUAUUGCACAAUGGGCGCAAGCCUGAUGCAGCGACGCCGCGUGAGGGAUGGAGGCCUUCGGGUUGUGAACCUCUUUCGCCAGUGAAGCAGGCCUGCCUCGUUUGUGGGUGGGUUGACGGUAGCUGGAUAAGAAGCGCCGGCUAACUACGUG
rnacentral:rRNA from 1 species